GUCAGUGACCCCUGAAUGGAGUCGUGAUGACAAUCAUCAGAGCCUCACAGGUCAUGUGACUGUCUCCGCAAAAGCUCUGUUUCCGGCGGUGUCAGACGGUCCAGCAGUGUGUUACACAACCUCCGAAAUAAAGGCUCCUCGGUGGCUCUUUACGACGGUAGUCUGUUUGAUCUGGUCCUCACACUCCUCCACCCACACCUUUUUCCCCAUCACUCCAUCCAUCUCCUCCAUGCGCAGCGAGUUUGUCAUGCUGAGCUUUUCCACUCCGGAGGAAACGACUGAAAACACGGCCUGACCUGAGAAACACAUUCAAAACAUUGUUGUUGUUUUUUUUUCAUUACAUGACACCUUAUUUAAUACAAAUGCUAUUGUUUAUUUGUUAUUUGUAAAUUGUGCACUUAUUUAUAGUCAUUACUGUGUACAAUGCUUUGCCAAUAUUACAUAAUCA
rnacentral:lncRNA from 1 species